rnacentral:rRNA from 1 species
AACGUAGGAGACAAACGUUAUCCGGAGUUACUGGGCGUAAAGGGCGUGUAGGGGGUUGUGUAAGUCUGGCGUGAAAUUUUUCGGCUUAACCGGGAAAGGUCGUCGGAUACUGCAGAACUAGAGGACGGUAGAGGCGUGUGGAAUUCCGGGUGUAGUGGUGAAAUGCGUAGAGAUCCGGAGGAACACCAGUGGCGAAGGCGACACGCUGGGCCGUACCUGACGCUGAUGCGCGACAGCAUGGGGAGCAAACAGG